rnacentral:tRNA from 1 species
GUCCGGUUAGCUCAGUCGGUAGAGCAUCAGACUUUUAAUCUGAGGGUCAAGGGUUCAAGUCCCUUAUUGGGCG